rnacentral:rRNA from 1 species
AACGAACGUUGGCGGUGUGGAUUAGGCAUGCAAGUCGCGCGCGAAAGUCUUCGGACAAGUAAAGCGGCGGACGGGCGAGUAACGCGUAAUCAACCUACCUCCGAGACUGGAAUAGCCACUGGAAACGGUGGGUAAUGCCAGAUGGUCCCCCGGGCCGGCAUCGGUCUGUGGGUAAACGGUGGCGAAAGCUGCUGCUCGGUGAGGGGAUUGCGUCCUAUCAGCUAGUUGGUGGGGUAAUGGCUCACCAAGGCGAUGACGGGUAGCUGGUCUGAGAGGACGACCAGCCGCACUGGGACUGAGACACUGCCCAGACUCCUCGGGAGGCUGCAGUCGAGAAUCUUCCGCAAUGGGCGAAAGCCUGACGGAGCGACACCGCGUGCAGGACGAAGGCCCUCGGGUUGUAAACUGCUGUCACGCUCUAGGAACCCCAUGUUGUUAACAGCGACAUGGCUGACCAAGGCGAAAGGAAGUGGCGGCUAACUCUGUGC